rnacentral:lncRNA from 1 species
UUGGUGCAUGGUAUUCAUAGACUAUGAAGCAAAAAUGGAUGGAACUGACAGGGUCAAACUCAAAGUAUAUCUGGAAUCACGAAGGAAGCUUCCCAGAGAGAAGCCAUAGUCAUAUCAAUUCUUGGUGCACAAACUGAAAUGUCACUAGUUCUUGCACCCAAAACCACUAGUUUUCCAGACAUAACAAGUCAUAACAAUAUGAUGGAGAUCCUACAUAUAUAUCAACCAAAUAAUCCAAAAUCUAACAUUUAAAUAAUUAAUAAAUCAGAUCAAGUUUUUAUGCAAAUAAAUAUACCAGGAAAGAAUUUUGUCAGAGAACACUUCCACAAGACUGAAAGAUCCAUAAGCUGCAAAUUUCAAAAAACAUGAGUUUAAUUAUCAGUUACCAGAAAGGGUUGGAGGCCUAGACAACAACAAGUACAUAAUAAAGAGAAUGCCAUGUAUUUCUGUCAGGAAAUAACUGUUUUUCUGUCUGAGUACAUAAACAACAAGCAGCACUUUUGCAACUGUUUGCUGAAAUAUUAAAUUGGGUACAAGAAAGUUGAAGGUAAAAUCUUCAUAACAUUAUGAAAAACAAGAGCUCCUUAAAAAUAUUUGGCCUUGAUGCCUUCUUGAUGACAUGAAGGUAUAGAUUGUAUUACACAUGCACUAUUUAAUGAUAAUCAGUGCUAUUCACAUGCCAAGAAUUCAACAAAUGAGUGGAUGAAGCAAAUCGAGGUUGAUUGCCUCUUCAUCCACCAUCACAAUACAACCAAUCAAGGUUUAAACUACCUGUAUGUUACCAGUAUAGUAAGGUCCCAUACAUUACAAAGUUCGCCUGCCAGUUCCAGCAUAGCAGAACUGGGAUGUCAUACCAUGUGUCAGUAUAGUACAAUACUAAGGCACAUACUAAUGCUAAUAACUUACUACUAUGGAACCGCAUAACUGAUGUGGAUCGGUGCAUCAGUAGUUCAAUCCAAAGCUACCAACACAUUUGACUGCAUUAAUCUUUCAUGCGCUAUAUUGCUUGUGCUUCUCUUCAAAUUUUUCUUGUGAUCCUAUUUACCUCUUGGAUUGAUACCUUUCAUCUACAUAAUUGGCUGUUCCCAUGUUAUCAAAGGCAACUGAAAAUCUAUCUAGUCAUGUAGGGAAAUGGCAUCAAUUCUAAAAUCUGCUUUGUUUGUGAGAAGACCAUGAUCACAAGAUUCCCUUCUACACAGGAUAUAGAAAAAACAAGCCUUUACAUACAAGAUGAUUAAUGUUUAAUGAAACUUGUGAGACAAAACAUCACGAAAGAAGAAUAGCCAAAGUUUCCCACAAAUAAAUCUCCUUUAUGUAAUCAGGUAGCUCGGACAAAAGGUUACACUUAACUGGGUUGUUAAGAAUCCACGGAUUCAGGCACCUUUCCUCAGUCCUUUCCCAUGAUUCAACAUUUACAAGUUAGAUUUUAAGCAGACAAAAUUAAUGAAACCAUGGACAAAAUGGAUAUCUGGUACAUAAUCCUAUUUGACCUAGCAUUGUAAAUCUCUUAUAGUAAUAGUCUUGGUACCGCUAGGCCAAAAAUCACUAAAGUAGGUGCUGAAUCAAAAGAAGAAGAAGAAAAACACGCAGAGGAAUACAUAAGGUGAUGAUUACAGGUCAUUUCUUACUUGGUCAUAAAUAUGGUGUGUCAAAUAGGUAAUAUAAAGAAAACUAGAACUAUAUUAUAUAUUUUUUUCAUUGAUCCCUUAAAGGCAAUUAUUGCGACAACAAAAAGGACUGUUUGCACCGUACAUCUUUUAGCGUAGAGAGAGAGAGAGAGGGAGUACAACGAGAGAGAAGGAUCACCAUUUUGAAUUAUGAACCAACAUACAACCAUUGUCAUCACUAACCUGCCCAAUACAAGAGCCACUUUUCUUGCUCAUUCCGGUCUUUCUUCUCUAUAGCCUUGAACGUAGAGUAAAUGGGCAAACCGAUCCCUACUGUACAGCUGCACAAACGAAAAGCAAGUGAUAUAAAAACAUGAGAUAUCAAAGAUAGUGUUUUCACGGCUUAUGUUUGACAAUUCAAAAAUCUUUUGACCAGUAAAGAGCAAUACAAGCAGUUCUAUUGCAUAUACAAUAAACAUCAAGCAAUUUAAUGGGUCAUGUUUCUUGGUCAAACAGUUAAUUUUUUUACAUGCAAAGCACAACCUCUACAUGCCAAAUAUAAUUUUAAAAAAUGACACUAAAGCUCACCAAGCUGUUCUAAUAACAAUGUUAGAACCAAUCGGGCAAAGCAGCAAGCGCAAUCCAACCUGCAAGUUAUAUAAGAUUCGUGAACAUGGAAUUCGAUCUAAAAAUCAAGCCGAUGCAAUAUAUUUUCAUAAGCGACACAUAUACUUGAAAAAAAACUAUUAGCUCGAAAGCAACAAUCCGAAUAUUGUUCGUAGUCGUCUAAGAUCUGGAAGGAGUUAUCAUAUAAGCAGGCAGCACAAAUCCAAAUAAAUAAGCAUUUAUUCAUACAAACAGAUAAAGAACCUCAAUUACCCUUUAUCUCUUCUUAAUUUAGAGCAUUUACAAGUUUCUGAGGUUGCUUUCCUUCCUGCCAACUAUUCUCCACACUUCACAGCAGGUCUCUAUCUUGCUCAAUGCCUAUCUACAGGCUCAUAACCAAAUUUUAGAGCCUUCAAUCCAAGUCAGGAGUAAGCCAUAGAAAGCUCUCAAACUUUGAUGGAUCGUACUUUGAUCCUUUAAUUUGAAUGUUUAGACGAGAAGGAUUGCACAAUAAGAUUAAAAUAUAGAGACUGACGGCCAGAUCAAAGUAAACCAAUACCACCAAAAACCAUUGGACUUGGUUUGAAGAUGUCCACAAAUAAUAAAAGUGUUCUUCAUAAACUAAUAUUAUAUUAUCUCCCUCUCUCUUUAUAUAAUUGGAUAAGUGUAGCAAAGCAGUUGAAAACACCUGAUAAAAAAGCUUCACAGACAGAAAAAAGGGCAUAUCCACUUACCACAGCCUAUUCUACAAAAUCCCAACUGAAACAAACAUGAUCGAUCAUCAUGGAAAGGUCAGACAAAUGCAGGCCAUGAAUUGACCUUCCUAAACAAGAGCUCAAUUCAUGACUCGAAAUAAUUUAAAAAAUCAUUCAUGAUUCUCGUCUUAAGGUUAACUAUAUAUAGGAUUAUAAUCCCUCCUCUCUACAUCUUUCAUCAUCACUUUUGUGAGACUCCAUCAACUCAUGAUCUCCUCAAAAUCAUAAACAGAAGCGUAUACUUGAACCAUCAUCAUUUAAGGAUCACCGAAUAAGAUUAUAAGACAAGUCAACAACCCUUAGUACCAAUUGUUCCUUCUUUCACACGGAUAAGCAUGACAGAAGUUGAGGUAUGAGCUUCUGAAAUAAUCCUCCGUAAGAAAAUUCCUCAAGACUUUCACUAUGUGUGAUUGAAAAGAUAUUUUAGCUCAUGUGAACUUGGGCCUGGCUUUCAUUCAUUUCAAGGACACUUCUAUACUCUUCCUUACAAACUAUUUCAAUUUUCAAUCCAUGAAUCAGAUUCAGAGCUAACCACAUCGCUAAAAGAUUCAAGUUUUGGAACAUAAACAUCAGGGAAAAGCAGACUAAGUUGUCUCUAAACUUCCGUUUUCUGCCCCUAUUCAUUUUUUAUACUCCAUUAUCUCUCAGAAAUUUAAUUUCACUUUCAAUCUCCAGUCCGUGUUCUAUGUUCUCAUCAAGAGGAUGGGAAAGGUACUGUUUCGAACUUUCGUUCGUUCAAGUUAUGUAACGUUCUUCAGAAGCAUCAACUGACUCUCAAUUUCCAACCAUCAAGUGCAGAUUCAUGUUGUAAAAAUCAUGAACUUGAUCCAUAUACAAACCAAGAAUUAUCAAUAAACACUUCAAACAUCUCACAUUAAAAACAUUUUUUUCUUUUUUUUCCAAACUUUACAAAUUCUUCAUGAAAAUAACAUAUGAUCUAUAGAACUGGCCAAGAAUUAUCCAAUAACAAAACCUCCGGUGGACUUCAACUUCAUCCAACAUUACUGCAGUAAUUUUGGAUGCAUAUGCGAGUUCAGGAUCAUAUAAAAAAUAUGAAACCCCUUCCACAUAUCGGUUUCCGUCGCCCAAAUAACAAUAAAAAGCCCAUAAUUAUCAUACGUUACAGAGAGGGGGAAUUAGGGAUUUGGAACCUCGCUGGGGAUGGCGGAUCCGAGGAACGCCAUUGGUAUGAAUCGCCGGCGAGAAGGAGAAGAUAGGAGAGGCGAGAAAUUUCUCGACGGUGUAUCAACUCCUCAGAGAGCCCUCGUCGUCUUCUUUUUUCUUGGAGGAGAAAGGAAAGACCUCGGCGAAGCAACUGCGAAGGCGAAGGCGAAGGCGAAGGCAGAGGCGUUUCAAGGAGGAGGUGAAAGAACCGACCGGAUUUCAAACGGGUCGGGUCCGCAGUAGUUUGCACCAGGGUCGGUUGCCGAUUUCGUAUGGUGCUUGAAACGAAUUUAGAAAAUCUGAAGGACUUGCAAACCUUUCCAUCAGUUUAUAACGUUGAAGAUAAUAUAAUUGCUAUUUUUGAACAAUAAUAUAGAUUGUGGCUCUAGCAUAAAACAUCCCAACUAUACAUCAUAAAAUUAAGCAUAUUAGCCAUAAAAGGUAUAGCAUCCAAUAUCAAAAUUCAUAUCUAACCAAAAACAUAAAUUAUCCGAUUCGAUUACUAAGAUUUCAAAAUCUCUGAACAACUAAUACAAGAUAAAAUUUUACUAGAACUUAAAUUUAAUAGGCACUCUAUCUGACAAGCAACCUGUUGUCCAUGAGAGUUUUGAGUAUUUUAUUUCAAAAUCUCUGAAUAGCUAAUACAAGUUAAAAUUCUACUAGAACUUACAUUUAACAGCUAUUGAGCUACUCCAUCUGACAAGCAACCUAUUGUUCAUGAGAACUCUGAAUAUUUAAAAUAGUAAAAGAAAGAAUGUGAGCUUGAUGACAUGUAUCUCACCAUAUGCACAUACACAAUGUAACCUUGAGAUAGGCAUUACAUGUGAAAGCAAACUAUGAUACAAACACAAAGAAAAUAAAAAUGUAAUUGACAUAAACUACUCAUGCCAUAUAUACAAGUAAUUAAAUAUUCUCAUCAAUGUCCCAAUAUAAUCACAAUUAUUAUUGCAUAUUAUAUAGGCAGAGUUCGUAAUUUUAUCACGUGUUCAUUUUUAAAUUAUAAAAUUGUAAUAUUAUUCCUCAAUUCCAUGGCAUAGUUUCAAACUAAUAGAAGAAUUCAGAAUUUCUCAAUAAAGGGAACAAGUAACUUCUUACUUUGGACCAAACCAUGGUCACGUUUGUGGCUCAUGAUGGGCUAUCAAUGCGGUCACAUUUUUUGCUACCAAUAGGCAUCAAUAUAAAUAUAUUUUUUGUUUGAUAAAUUGUGACUUGAUAUAUAUCUUUACCAGUGGAGCCUAUUUUAAUGGGUAAUAUCUCACUCAUUUAAGGUCUAAAAUUAAUCAAAUUUGUGCUCGUUUCAAAACUUUUGAGGUCUACUUUUUGCGGAAGCUCAAAGGGGCAGUAUCGUUGAAUGUUUUAUUAAGUACUUCGACCGCUAAUAAUUUCUUAAUGAUCCUUAUAAACACAUCAAUAAGCAUGCAUCCAAAUAGCAACUAUACACAUAAUAUAAAUAAAAUAUAAGCUUGGUGACAUGCUGGGUGUUAUAUUGGAGCAUGUUCUCUUCCAUCUACCAAGUCCACAUAUUUCAACACCCCCUCCCCCCCCCCCCCCCCAACCCACACACACACACUUCCCUCGCACUCCUUUUUUGUUUGUCUCUCCAAGCAAAAUAAUUAGUCAAUAAUUUUGUCAACUUUAAACAGUUGAGGAGUAUUCAUUUCAACCAAUCAAAUCUAUGUCCAAUUUUUUCUUUGAUUCCUCUUUUUGAAUGUGACUCUUUAGUUAGCUUUAUUCUUUUUAUACGUUCGCUUUAUCUAUCUUAAUCGCUACUACUUGUUUUAACUAACCGUUACAUGUCGAAUUUCUAGAAAAAAGAUUUGACAAUUUUAAAAAUAAUGAUAGAUCAUCCUAAUUAAAGAUUGAUAUUGUUCAAUAUAAUCUACACUAUAAAUAAUGCAUACAAACUAAAAUUCAUAUAUUUUGGUAAUCUCUAACCUAUGAACAAAGAAAUACAUAAAUGAAUAAUAUUAAUUGCACAAGUAUACUAAAACAAAUAAUACAAUAUACAAAAUAAAAAUCAAUUUCUUUGAUCAUAGUUUGCAUGUCUUAAAAUAUAAUAGAUUUAAAUUCACAAAGUUUGCAUGAUCAAAUCAUGAUAAAAUAUGAAACCUUUAUUUUUGCACCAAUACGAUCAUGAAGUUAGAGACUAUCAAAAUAUAUUAAUUUUUAUUUUUAUUUUUAAGUAUAAAUUAUUUUUAAUAAUUUACUUUUUUAAUUUAAGUAAUUCAUUAUUUUUUAAAUUAUUAUUUAAAAAAUUAUUAUAAAGUAUAUAGCCUAACUUUAUACUUGUAUUUUAGUCAUAACUUAUUUCUUUUUAUUUGUUUUCCGCCGGCCGGUUGAUCCAACGGUUGGACCGGUGAUCGUCCCCUUGGCCGUUCCAUAUCCGGUUGGACUCGAAUAAGGAGGAAUUGUCGUCAUCCAUUGUAAGCCGAAAGUCCCCUCUCUCUCUUAACACUUCGGUCUCCAGAAAAAAAAAACCCUAGCAGUGGUUCCGAUCAUGGCGAGGCUGGCGGCCAUCUUCUUGGCCGUGAUCUUCCUCUUCCCUGUCCUCUGCCUCUCGUUCUCCGCCGACAAUCCCACCGACCGGCGUCUUCUCGUUCUGGUGGACGACCUCGCCGUGCGAUCAUCGCACUCCGUCUUCUUCAAGUCCCUCCAGACCCGAGGCUUCGAUCUCGACUUCAAGCUCGCCGACGAUCCCAAGCUAUCGCUCCAGCGAUACGGCCAGUACCUUUACGAUGGCCUCAUCGUCUUCUCCCCAUCCAUACAGCGUAAAUAAUUUCUCAUCCCCAGAUCUCGCGAUUCCUUCAUAGAGUCAAUAUUGAUUUUUUUUUCCUGUUCUUUUUUUUUUUAAGGUUUUGGAGGUUCGUUGGACCAAAACGCGGUUCUAGAAUUCGUGGACGCAGGGCACGAUUUGAUACUGGCGGCGGAUUCGUCUGCCUCUGAUCUGAUCCGGGGCAUCGCCACAGAGUGUGGUGUUGACUUUGAUGAGGCAAGUUGACUUCUUCUUUCAUUUGGUUGUGCUUAAAACUUUCUUGUUUAAAAAAAAACAUUAAUUUCUUAGAUUGUUUCAGGAUUCCGCGGCGAUGGUUAUUGAUCACACGAGCUAUGCGGUAUCGGAGAUGGAAGGGGAUCAUACCCUGAUCACCAGUGAUGAUCUCGUUCAGUCGGAUGUGAUUUUGGGUGACAGAAAAAUCGAGGUGAGCGGCUAUUGCCUUUUUUUAAUUUUUCAUUGUGUGUUCUGAGUAACUCCUUUUUUGAAUUUUUCUGUUUUUUAUAUUAGUACUCUAUUAUUAAGAAUAUUUAAAACUACCCCGUUUCCAUCACUAAUCAAGUAGCGAGAAGAAAACCAGCUGCAAAAUGUUUGUUUACCUUGCAUUGAGCAGGUGGCUGUCUAAUUGAUUUGAUUCGGGCGAUUGUAAUAAUACAAAAAUAAAAGAAACUAGCAUGAUCCCAUUUGAUCUAGGUUAGCUCUGGGCAUCAUUUCAAGUGUUGCUUGCCACUGUUCUGAAAACAGGUCUAUGCUGCUGGAGAUGCGGCCAUGUUGCCUAUGCAGUCUGCUGGCUAUACGGCAUAGGGCUCAGGCAGCCCUAAUAUGGAGAGGGGCCGCACAAUGGAUGCCCAGGAGGCAAGAUAAGCCCUAGCACAUGCAGCAUGUCUCAGUUGAUCAGGUAGGGCAAGUUGUCUUGGACAAGGUUGAAUGCUGAAUUGGAAUUCUGAAGGAAAGUAUCUUAGGAUUAAAGAUCUAAAAUGACUAAGAUUGAAAUAAAGUAUACAGUACUCAAUUUGUAUGGACAUGUAAAUGAAUCUGGUAACCCAAUCAGAAUGAGCGGCUAAUGGAUACUAGAGUUUUGGUGCCUUGAAGCUAUAACAUAGAACAAUGGAGAUCUAUGGUAUGAAACAAUGUAGACGUAAAUGAAUACCCGGGCCAUGGCAACUUAACAGAAAACUGAUAUUAUGUUGAUGAAAUCUGAUAAUAGAAGCAAAGAAAAGAAGAGAAACAAAGAAAGAAAAAGGAAGGAAGGAAAAGAAGGAGAAACAAGAAAGAGGAAAAGAGAGGGGGGAUGCUAGAGAAAGAGAGAAGAAACAGAGAGUGGAUAGGAGAGAUGAAGAUAUGCUGGUAGAGGGUUCAUUCUACAACUAUACUCGUAGAUUUAAUUCACAGAAAUGCAACGAUUAUUAGUGUGAUUCCCUUCAUCUCUUUAUUAAACAACUCAAAGCUUCAUGGAAGUACCCAAAGUGCCCCUAUCGUGUGACUUAACCCAGUUAACUACUUUUGAAAAAUUUCAUCAAGAAAUAGUUACUGAAAUAACCUUGCUGUUUAACUUAGAUGACUCCAAAAGGCAACCUGACCUAUGCACCAUAUGUGUCUCAUUUACGUUGGCUUUGUGGCAAGAAAAAUACAGUGAGAAAUGAGUUUAUGGGAGAAAUGUUAAAGUGGUACCAAUUGAGGACAAAGUACUAGAGAAGCAGUCAAUGUAAUAUGCAGGUGCCACGAAGAUUUGAAGAAGCUCUUAUUGGAAGAGAUGCUCAAAUCUAUGCGCAAGAUCCUAAAAUUAGGAGGGGAAAACUUAAAGCUAGGAUGCAUUUAAUCUCGUUACUUUCAUUAUAGAACAAUAUGACACUACCUACCUAGUUGCUAACAUGCAGUCUAGGUUUCAAGGUCAAAGGUGGCAGCCAUUUACUCUUAUUUAUAGGUGACAUGGGUACAAACUGCAUUAUAAUUUGAUAAGCGAGAACUCUUUUGGUUUUUACAUAUUCUUUUAUCUCCUGAGAGACCUCCAGGAUGAUUUGUUGACCAUGUACCCUUUUUAUUUGUUUUGUUUAAGCAUCACAUCACUGUUCAAUUUUUUUUGUUCUCUAUUUCUGAUUGUUCAGAAUAAACUUUGCACAGGCUCCUAUACUCUUUCGUGGAAUUGGUCAUUCAGUUAAUCCUGCUAAUAGCCUGGUAAGUUCUUUUGUUUAUAUAUCUUGAUUACUGAAAAAGUCAUAUAAAAUUUUAUUGGCUGAUUUGCUUGUUUAGCUUCAUAUGUUUGAUUUCAACACCUUGCGUCUUAUUUAAUGAUGCUAUAUUCUUUUUUCAUGAUUUUUGUACUGCUUUAUAGGUUUUGAAAGUUCUCUCUGCCUCACCUUCAGCAUAUUCGGCAAAUCCAAAGAGCAAGUUAUCAAGCCCUCCCUCACUCACAGGCUCUGCUAUAUCAUUGGUUUCAAUAGUGCAGGUUGUUUAAUGUAAUGAUAUUUUUUUUAACCUGUCAAUUGCUUGCUCUGUGUUUGUUUUUAUACUGACACUGCAUGAUAGUGUGAAUCAAAUGUUGCAUUCUUCUCCUCAUCUUCAUGUUCUCGUUGUUAUGAAGACACUCAUUCUAAUCUGCUCUUUUAUCACUCUUGAAAAUCCCCUUACAGCUCUGGUGGUUAAAAGUCAGAACAUUCUCAUUUGUUACCAGCAAGUAAAUUUACCUAAGCAAACCUCAUUUUCAUCAAUUAGUACAAUUUCGCAUGUAUUUCAUUGAAAGAAUUACAGAUUUCUAACUUGAUGUUUGAUUUUUCUUGUCUUGAUUUUCAUACCUACUGAACCUAUUAUAGGUUUUAGCUUGUGCAAUAUUGUAUAGAUAUUGCAGCGGAUGCUUCCUCGCUUACUUGGACUUGUGUUGUAAUUAUCCGAUCAUGCUUGACUUAAACCUGGUGUCAAUUGAAGAGUUUCCUUUUGUUUAUAAUUUGUGGAGUUUGAGCACCAGUCUGAUAGCCUCUUAAAAUUGAUUGAGCUAGAUGAGAUAAAAUGGAUGCUGAAGUUUAGUAUUAUCCUUUGAGAGAUGGAUACCAAUUGUUUGGACUUUGACUUGCAAAAUUACCUUCGAUCCCAAAAGCAAUCAGGAAAAUAAUUUUUUAAGCCAGACUUUACUUUUAGGGACUGAAAAACAGAUCAAAGCCUGCUCAAAAUGACGUAACCACGAAUGCCUGUCUGACCAUGUCACUUGACCCAUUCAUAGCCCCAAUAUAAGACAUUAUCUACUGAUUACUAUUUCAAAGAUGGUAUUUUGAGUCGAAACUCUAAAAUAUUUUUAUAACUGAAUGUCUUUUGCAUUUCGAUACAGCUUUUGGUUUCUUAAUUACUUCUGACGAUGUUGCCUUAUGUCCCAUAUUUUUAAGUUUUGUCCCCAUGAAUUCUUAGGAAAAUCAUAUCAUAUCACCGUUAAUCAUAUGUUUUUGGCUAUUAUGCAGGCAAGAAAUAAUGCUCGUAUAUUGAUCUCUGGAUCUCUGGACCUCUUUAGCAACAGGUACAUAACAAUAUCCCAUGAUUUUUGGAUUUCCUUCUGUGUCAGUUCACUGAUGUUAACUUUAUUGUUCAUUAGAUUUUUAAGAUCUGGUGUGCAGAAGGCUGGGAGCUCAACUAAGUAUGUAACUUUCUCUGUAUUCAUCCUUUGCAUUGUUCUACUUUUUGUUGUAUAGUUUAAGUAGUCAUGUUGUUCCUUUUUUUGAUUGUCUUUUGUAAGUUACCAAUAUCCAAAAAAAUGCCACUAAAUGUGAGGCUUGACAUUUAUACAGCUGUGGGUGCUUCAAUUAUUUCAACUAUGGAAACGUUUCUAAAUUGUCUCACCAAAAUGAGUCCUUGCAACUUCCAAUUGCCACUUAUUUCUAUUUCUCGAUUUGUUUCAUUUAUGCUGUGCUAGCCAACAUGGAGAAUUCUUAUUUAGCUUUUUUUGUUUGUUGGCCAUAAAACAACUUGUUGUUUGCACUUCUAUGACUAUUGAUUGCUUCAUUUCUUUGGUUUUGGCAGGAUGUAUGAUUUCUUGUGCAAAUGGUUAGUGAUUUACAAUAUGGCUGAGUGCUUAAUGACCUAUUAUCACAUGGCCAAAAACAUAUUGGAACUGCUAUUAGCUGCUAAUGACUGUUGUUUGUAUGUAAAUUACCUAAGCUCUGAAGCACAAUAGUCAGGAGAUGCCAAUAAUAAUCAAAAUUAGGAAGUAGUAAGGUUAUAGGGCCAUGUAAUAUGGAUCGAGCAAGAAUGUUACAAGGUUUUGAAUUUAUAUUAAGAGAAACAAGGAUUGACAAAAGAAAGGAUGCUUUAUAAGUAUAAUGAACUAGGCAUCUAUGUGUAUAUAUAUUUAUUCAAACAACCGCUAGGGGGGGUGCCUCUGAGGUAGUUAGCUCACAAUAGUAUGGAGAAUGUUAAGACCUAAGUACAAAUAAACUUCUGAAAGACUAGCCAUAUAGAAGAAGUUUAAUCAUUUGUGAAACUAUAAAGAGAUUUGCUUGCAAUGAUCAUAUCAUGAAGGAUAUGUCAUGAGAUGAAAAGUAUAUGUGAACACUAAUUGUUUAAAUCCUUCGAAAAGAAAAAAGUAAAAACCACCAUAUUCCCUAUAAAUACAGGGUCUUGUAAGCAAAGUUUUCUGUUGUCAAACUCCAUGUUACAUUGCCAAAUGCUGGAUAAAUAAUCAGUAUUAAGCAAUAUCGAAGCCUCUUCCACCUCUUACGAGAAAAAGCAGCUUUUGCCAUAUCCAAUUUAUCUCAUUAUGAUAAAACUCCAAAUGGGAUCAAAAAGCAAGUGGGGUUGGAGGUGGGGGUUGGGGCGGCUCUCACUGUAUAUGUAUGUUUAUGUCAAUUGUAUAUAUUUUUGAAUGUGUGCAUGUAUAUUUAUGUAAGUUAAGCUUAAUUGAGUAGAAAAUAAGCUGCAUAUGAAGACAAAUUUCCAAGAUUGAAUUAUUAAUUGUUAUGCACUAUUUCUGUGCUUAAUUCUGAUUCAUCUACUUCAAGCUUUUGAGAAGAGUAGGGUGACUGGUGGAGUCUGUUUCUUAUGAUUUUCGAGAGGGAGAAAGGUUAGCGCUCGUCUUGUUAUUUCGAGGAGGGUGUAGGCGUUAAACAAACUUUAUGGUGUUAAAAGUAGAUACUGGUGGUGAAGUGCUGCUGUCUGUAUGUGUGUGUUUUGUUUUCUUUUUUUGGAGGGGGAGGGAGGGAGGCUGUAUAAACUGGUAUAGGAGAUUUUCUUUUCCUUUUUUCUUUUUCCUUUUUUUUCUUUUGGUUGGGGGGGGGGAGGGUCAUUUUGUAGAUAAGCUAGAGUUCAUAAGCGAACAAAAGGGCUUGAAGUGUACUGUGGAAGGAGAUUUGUCAGAUACUGUUAGGUGUAAGAGGAUUAUUGCAGUGUGAGCCUUGCUAAUUGCUAUGCUAAAACUUGAAGCAAUAACUAGUUCAGAGAAAAUUCAGGUUGGGAGAGGGGAAGCAAAUUUCUCAAAUUCUAGGGUAAAGAAUCAUCUACAAAGCAAAUGCUACUGCAAAUCUGAAGAAAUUUUAAAGCAGCAUUUAGAUGAUUCCCAUUGCCAAGUUUAAAACACAAGGGUGGAAUAGAACGAUAACAGACUAGGGCCUUAGAGGAUAUCUAGCUAGAAUUACCUAUUUUAUGGAGCCAAUCAUAUGUUGGAAAUACCAAAAAGUUCGUGGACAGGGUGACAUUGUUUCAGAAAGAAGAUUAUUGAUUCACUUUACGGACAUUAAAAUAUGAUAAAAAUUAUGAAGCUAUUGGAAGAGAAGUGUGUCGGAACUAAACUCUUGGAAUAAUAAAUAAUUGAGUUUGUUACCUUGAUAUACGUUUGGUUGCCACUAAAGAAAUGCAAGAAUAGUAUACUUCGUGUCUAAUGCCUAAAAACAUUAAUGGAUUCCCUUUGUACUUGAUAAUAAUACUUUCUGGAGAAACUUGAAAAUAAAGUGCUUAUUAGUUUACAGAAAAGGAGUAAAAUGAGCACAACUCCAAGUUUCUUAACAAGAUGGUGAUGGAAAAGGAAGGGGCAAAGGAAAAUAAUAAUAAUAAGGGCAUGUUUGGAUAUUCCUAUAGGAUUGGGCUGUCCAUAUAAGCAUAGCUCUAUAUCAACCAAACACCACCCAGCUCAAAUCCAUGGGUCUCUUUUUUUUUUUCCUGCAGCCCAAAGGCUAGGAUCUGGGUUGGGUUUAGACAGAAUCUUAGAAAAUGCAAGCUAGAUGGGCUAACAUGCUCAAUUCCCACAGGAUUUUCAGCCUAAUCUUGUUGGAAUAUCCAAACAUGCCCUGAACUGGUAAUUUCGACGGGAUCUGUGACCAUUUGACUUCCAGUCUCCUCAGUUUAAUCAUAACUUUGCCUGAUACUUUUCAUAUACAUCUGCUUUCAUGAAAGAAAUCUGUGUAUGUAUAGGUUCAAAAAGUUAAUUGCAACAACAGCCUAUCCUUUACUUAUUCUUCAUAUGGAGUUUUUGUACUCGUGAUGUCUUUUGUUCAAAAAAGGAGACGUAGGAGUUUUUCCUUGAUGCUGCAGGUAUGAAAAGUCUGGAAAUGAGCAGUUUGUGACUGAAAUUAGUAAAUGGGUCUUCCAUGAAAGGGGUCAUCUCAAGGUGAACCAUUUUAACAAGUGCUUUCUUGACGAUUUUUUUCUUUCUUGAUCUGAACUCCAAUAUCUGGUGCUAAAAGAUUAAAGAGCUUUUUAUGAUUCAUGGAUGGAUUUUUUCCCAGGCUGUGAAUGUCAGGCACCACAAAGUUGGAGAAACAACGGAACCUGCAAUGUACCGCAUCAAUGAUGACUUGGUAAUUGCUUCCCAAUCAUGCAAGAGUUUAACUAGAUAACAGAUUGAGGAGUAUUCCCCCUUUGGUGUUCUGACUUCUUUUAUCUGGUUGAAGGAUUACUCGGUUGAGAUCUACGAAUGGUCUGGAACAACCUGGAAACCUUAUGUAGCAGAUGAUGUUCAAGUUCAGUUCUACAUGAUGAGUCCUUAUGUUUUGAAGACUUUGUCCCAUGACCAGAAGGUGUGUACGAGGCUUAUAUUAUAUUACAUGUCCUCAUGAAUGAUCUUGCAGGGUUUUUUUUACUGAAUAUUGAUUAUUCCUUGUGACAGGGUCUUUAUUCAACAUCCUUUAAGGUUCCUGAUGUUUAUGGUGUUUUCCAAUUUAAGGUGGAGUACCAAAGGCUUGGAUACACAAGCCUCUCUCUGUCAAAGCAGGUUUGUUAUGUCUGCAUGAUUUUACAUUCCAACAAAAUACUUUCUCAUAUCGGAGCUUUUUAGUCAUUAAUUCUUCACUUAAGCUGCAAUUGUAAAUUACAGCUACUAUAGAUUAAUUAUGAAUUUAUUUGCACUAAUAUUAUAGCAACUACAAAAAGUUGGAUGGCCCUUCUUGCAACACAUAUGCAUCUGCCUGCUAACUAAGGAAAACCAUGUACUCUUCUUGUAGGUUACUAAGGUAUCAAAACUGGUACAGAAAAUGAUAAAUUAAAAUCAUUUUUUUAAUAUAUUUAUGAGCAUAAAGUCUCCAUUUACCACUGUAUAAUUUGUUUUCAACACUUUCUUCACCAUCCUUCGUAAUGGUCUUCACAAGGGGCUUUUGAGAUAAGUGUCCCAUGUAGGGUGAUAAUUCUCUCUUUAACAUUAAGAUGUUUAGUUGCUUUUGCCGGGAAGCAGCCAAAGGUGACCUGUUAAAGUACUUUGCAGCUAGAUAGGAUUGGAUUUAGUGACAAUUGAACAUGCUGAUAGCAUAUUACCUUUUCUAAGUUGGACUUGAGACAAUUGAAUAAUGGUAAAUUGGUUUGUUUUAAGUGGGUUGGGUGCUUUUGUGUUAAUGCAAGUAAUAGUUAUGUUGUAGGAUGAACAUUAUGGGCACUUAAAUCUGCAGACUGUGGGCUAACAAUUUCCACGCUUAAUCUUUGAGUUCCCUUGUGGGGUCGGGGACCUUUAGGUUUAAAUGAUCGGGGACCUUGUUAAUCUCAUCGUAGAUUCUUUUCUGUAUUUAUUGCCGUUUAAUUGAUAGAAAAUCUUUCCCAACAGAGUCUAGAUAUGUUUUACACAACUUGUAUCAGGAAUCACAUAUACUCUCUGUUUACCCAUUCAAGAUGCGACCUAGCAAAGAAAAAGAUGAGGCCCUGUGAAAAAGAAAUGCUCUGUCCUAUGGAGGAUGAUAUUGCUAAACCCUCUGCUUCACUAUAACAAGAUGAAGGUUUAGCGAGAAUUUUUCAGAUUAGUGCAUAAUGACGCCCGUCUUUUCUUCUGAUCCAAUAUUCUGUUUAUCUGUAUUUUGGUUUCUAGCAAGUACAUAGCUUUUACUGUAUAUAGGUAUACAAGUGGAGCUCGAAUAUUUGGUGAAGCUUUAGGAAAGGGACAUUUUUCACGUCAAAGCAUAUGAUUUGAGGGACCUUUGGAUGAUACUUUGCCUUAUUAUUUUUUGUUGUCCAUAGACUCUAUCUUUUUUGUUCUGGUCGACCAAUGCAGUUCGUGGCCAUUUGGUCCUAUUUAGGUGAGACCACCUAUGGACGUCUCAUUGCAUUACUUUUGUUCUUUACUGAAAAGAACGAAGUUGUGGAAACUGGACCACUGGUUGCUUCAAGAAAACAAUGAACUAAGUCACCAAAAUGCAUAAAAUCACUGUGGCAAUCUCCUUUACUUAUUGUCCGAUUAAAGAGGAACUCUUGCGGCAUAUCAAUCGUACUUAUUCUGGUUAAUACCUGUCUAAUUACAUUGAGUUUUCUUUGAACUUUUAACUUGGCAGAUUCCAGUUCGUCCUUUCAGACACAAUGAGUAUGAGAGGUUUAUAACAACUGCCUAUCCAUACUAUGGGGCAUCAUUUUCCACUGUAAGUGUUAUUGUGAAAUACUUGCCCAACAUGUUUUAUAGAAAAUUUUGGAAGUCCACAAUACUACUGCAUGAUGAGCAUUGCUGCAAAAUCUGAAUCACUUUCUAAUUAUGCCCAGUAUGGACAGUCUCUGAGAUUUGAUAUACCAGAUAAGGGACUUCAGUAGUCAGAACCCAAAAAAAAAGUCCUUAACUAUAUCUUAAAGCAUUGUCAUCCUAGAUGUUUUUAAAACCAAUCAUCAGUUUUAAUUUGAUGCAAAUAGAUCCCCUGAAAGGUUUUAUUUUCCUCCUUGCAGAUGGCUGCCUUCUUCAUAUUCUCCAUUGUCUACCUCUAUCACAAGUAGAUUGGUACGAAAUGGGAGGAUAACUUAUUUCGAGUAGAACAUGUAUGAGAGGUCUGCACUGAAGUUUUGUUUUUGGAUUAGAAAGAAAUUGUCUUUCUUCAACCUUACUCAUUGUGACAAUUCUAAAGCACUGGAAAUUUUAGUCAUUUUAGUCAUAUUACACCACUUAUUAUCCUUGUUAGUUCACCGGAAAUUUGCUUUCAGUCGUUACCUACCUACUAAAUAUCAUGGUAAAAGCAGCAAAAGCAGAGCAUUCUCCACAUUAGUUUGCCAAAUCACCAUCAUUCACAAGGCUACCUUGAAGUCAAUUAAGAAACUAUUGGUCACGGUGGUUCAAACAUCAUCAUGAAGGGUAAUUUAGAUUAGCUUGAUUUAUCCUCAAGGUGGUUCAUUUUCAUGUUUGGUUGACACAAAUAAUCUGAGAUUUGUGAAUCAGAACCAAAUUCAUUCGGUAAACAGGUCAAAACUCAAAUCCUUUGUUUCAAGUUGGGUUGUACAUGAGGUGCACGACUAGCAUGUUAAGCUGACUCGAUACAGUUAAACCUGGCCGAACGUAUUUAAAUGGCCAAUUAUUUGAUAAUCCCCAUUUUAUUAACAUUGUUUAUAUAACAUUUUGUAGGUGUAAAUUUACAUGCGACUGCAUAAAAUUUUUAUUGGGUGGUGCUCGGUUAUAAUUUUCAGGUUGAUGUCAUAGUCUUGUCAACCAACUAGCUUAUUAAAUUAGUCAAUCAAAAUUAAGCUGAUCAAGUCGCUAAGCCGGAACCUAAAACAUUUGAUAAAUAUAAGUGGGAUUGACAGGAGUUAUGGUAUGUACCCCAUUAUUAUCAAUUCAAACUUGGUGUUGGAUUUUUGAAUCAGGGUGGCAGGUUAGGGCGAGUGCUGCCUGCCUUUUAACUGAGCCUUGCCUACAUGAGCUCGAUCAAGCUUUUAUGUGGAGUAUGCUUUAAGUUGAAAUUAGGACAAGUAAUAAGCAUAACCAACCUAAAACUUAAUUAGGAUUAAGAGACGGCGAAGGUGGAGAGAGCCAAAUAGAGGACCAAGGAGGAGGAUAUCGGCACCAGCGGACCUCCCAGCAUUGAAGGAUUGGGGACAAAAUUAAAGAUUAUAUAAUUUCAAAUUCCUCAUAAUAUAUGAUUGAUACUUGCGUCUUAUACGCAAUGUGGCACAGAGAUAAUAUCUGUUUGCACCUAUAAACAUGCGGAUUAAUGCUUGCUUUUGCGCGCACCUCGACAUCAGGCUGGGUACCGAGAAAAGGCAAUACUUCAUCAUGAAUGAAUUCGUUACCAUUUCACCCCCUCAUGCAACAGACAUCAUUCAGAUUAGCGCGUGAAACUAUGGUCUAAAAUCCACUUCACAAUUCACUCCUACAGCAAAUGUUGAUAUAUAUAUAUAUAUAUAUAGAGAGAGAGAGAGAGAGAGUACCGUUGAUAACACGAGACACACUAUCUGUAACUAAAAUGCAGCCAUAGAACAGGUGUGCCACUAAAUAUUAUAAGCAGAGUAAGAGGAUAGUGUGCUCGAUGACCAUCGACAAAAAAAAUGACCAUCAGCAAGUCCAAUCUCUUGGAGAUGCUAGAGAGACUGAAUAGAGGAACAACUUUCUUCGUACAACUAGGACUUCUAAUAGCCAUAGAUAGAAGAGAGGCCAGAAUUUUUCUCCCGUGCUCAAACUCUUGGUGGAUAUUUGGGGAGCAACAGUGGAGCCGACUGGGUUACAAGUAAUGAGAUCAACCACGCAUCCUUUAGAAUACUGCUUCUAGUUUUCUUCCGUACCUUAGGAAAAUUCUCUAUUCNNNNNNNNNNNNNNNNNNNNNNNNNNNNNNNNNNNNNNNNNNNNNNNNNNNNNNNNNNNNNNNNNNNNNNNNNNNNNNNNNNNNNNNNNNNNNNNNNNNNNNNNNNNNNNNNNNNNNNNNNNNNNNNNNNNNNNNNNNNNNNNNNNNNNNNNNNNNNNNNNNNNNNNNNNNNNNNAUACCUUCUGCUUCGUUCCAACUCCCAUUAGAACGGACACAAAAACAAAAUCUUUUCAAUAGGGGAUGUUCGCAAGUAAUUUACGGAUCCCAUGACAUUAACGAACAAAUGAUGUAAGCAAAACCCAUACAACAUUUUACCUCCGUCCAAAAUUCUCAGUGGUGAACACCUGAGAAAUACCUGCAGGAUGAUGCACCAACUUCAGGACCAUAUCUAUAUCUUUGCAUUCAGCUACCACGUUUGAGUCCAGCCAAGACUAGUUUGCAUUCAAGUCCACGGAUAAAACAAUGGCGCAUGGCUUCUUCCUUCCAUCAGCUACAAGUGUGGUGUGUACAUAAUGAAGUGGCAGGCCUUGCCCUGUUUAGGCCAGGAAUGCCAUUACAUCCCCCACUUGUUGGCAAUUUCAAUUAUAUCCUCAUAUUCAUGAGAUGUUCUCUAGCAAAAAAAAUGCACAAAUCACAAGCAUUGGGCAGGUUGACUUAGUUUCAGCAUCUGCCAUGAUACAACCAUGGACAUAAACACUUCUUGAUGAUCCCUACUUAUUAAAGUGAGAGAUAAAUUUGGUUAUAUUAAACGCACCUAAAAUAACCAAAUUAAUGAUAGCAGACCUAAAAUGAAGGUAUACACUAUACACACCUUUGAAUAUGAUCAGCAACAUAUAAGAUGCCUGCGACCAUUAUUAUGGAUGUCUAGAGUAUGUCCCAAAAUAAUACCAAUAGAGUCAAUAUGCUAGAAUAUAGUAUUGCCACAUAGAUUAAAAAUCUAGAUUGUUGUUCAUACGGGCAGAUCAAGGAAAAUGCAAGAAUAUAGCAUUGCUGUCUAAAAAUCCAUGCUGAUGUUCAUAGUUUCUGCAAGGAAAUAACAUUUGGAACAAAGCAUAGCAGUGGAAAUAGAAAAGGUAUAACCAGAGAAAAUAAAAUAUCUAACAAAUAAAAGAAAUACUCAAUUGGUUUCCAACAUCUAAAGCAACACAAAAUCAUUACUGAAAUUCGGUAAUCGUGAGAAUCUGGUGACAUGGUUUACAGGGAACAUGGCAAAAUAGAUAGAGGGAUACAAGUGUUUUUUCCAAAAACAAUAAGUAAAAUGUUGGACAUACUUCUAAAUGAAAAUGAAGCAACAAAUAUAACAAACAAUGACUUCCAGCAAAAUUUUGUCUCGAAUUUCUCUUUUCUCACUAGAGACAAAGGAAAAAUGAUGGUAAUGUAUGGCAAGUUACUAAUGAAACACCUCCACAGAGAACAAGAAGGUGCUAUCAGCGAAACCCCCAUCAUCACUUUUGGCCUUCCAUGAAUCAGAAAAACACUUGAGCAAAUUUAUCUGGGAUUAUGAAGGCCCACUAUUAGUUAACUGGAGGGGAGAAGACAAGAAAACAACAUGAGAAAAUACUACAACCAAAAAGUUAUCUUUUACUUGCACACAAGUCUAUCAAAAGUUUUAAUUUGAUAAGAUCCAAAAACCAAACUAACCAACCAGAUGUAUAUCAAAAAGUAAUCCAACAACCGAAAUGUAACAAAGUACUACUCUAACAAUUUAUAUAUAUAGAUCGAAAAACUGCACCAAGAGACAAUUUAGGCCUUAAUUGCAAACUCCAACAAAACAAUCGUCAUCAAGCAUCCCCAAACAUAGAAGAAAAAAUAAAAAUCCAAGAAACGCCUCAAGGAUGGAGUUAAACGCCUCAAGGAUGGAGUUCCCAUCAUCGCUUUCAGCCUUCUGGGUGUCGGAUUAACACCCAGAGAGGUGAUCCGGGAUUGUAAAGGCCCUCCUUUACACAUUGAAUGGGAAUUCCAGUAGAAUAAUAUAGCUAACGAAAAGGAGGAGAAGAGAAGAGAAAGAUUGGAACGUAGGGUUUCGGAGACGGACCUGCCGAACCGAGAGAAAACGGGGGCGCCGGCGAGAAAGGCCAGCCCCAAACCCUACUCCAACCUCGCCCCCUUUAAAAAGCCAGCGAAUGAUAAUAGCCACUCCCUGUUUUUUAUAAAUUACACCUCUCUCUCUCUCAGUGGGGUGGAAAAAAUAACGAAGAUUUGGUUGGACUGACAAACAUAUGGCCCGGUUCGCUCGCGUCAUGGGCUACAAAAUGAAAUGGGCUUAACCCAGCGACCGCCACCGAACUCAACGUUGCAUGAGUUAGCUUAGUCUGAUCCAUUUGAUCUUUUACAGGGCAAUAUAAAUAAAUUUUUUUUGCAUGAAUAUUUUUUAAAUAUUAAAUUUUAUAUAAAUAUUCUUCUAAAAUUGAUAUUUACAUGUAUACUCUCAUAAAAUAUUUGUUUUGUUAUUAUGUCUUUUUUUUUUGCUAGGGUGAUCUAUAUCGGCCUAUAUUAUUUUCUUUAUAUAAAGUGUGUACACAAGUAUAUAUAACCCCUGAGAUGUACCAUUGUGAUAAAACAGAAAAUAUAAAAUCAUUGUUCUCUCUCUUUUUCUCUUCUUUUGCAAAUAUUUUAAUAUAUUUGUUAUAUUGUUCUAUUGUAUUUUGAGAAUAUAUGGAACAAAAGGAGAAAAACUGAUGCGCAAAAAUAAUAACAAUAUCCGUGAUGUUGGCAUUAAUAACAGAAGUUUUUUUUUAUGAAGACUCGCAUAGAGUUUUCUGUUCAUCAUAUAGAUGCCAAUAUUAAUAAUGAUAGGCUUUGCUUGACCAGCAUUAAAUUGCUUAAUUUAUAAUAGAAAUUUGAUUAUUGAAGUCUUUCUUUUAUUAUAAUUUGUUACAUUAUUGUACUAUAUUUUAUAAAAGAAAGAAAAAAAUAUAUUUCAGGUGCGACAGUUUGACCUACGUUAGAGUAUGUAUCGAUUUUUCUUAGUUAUUUUAUAAAGUAUAUCAAUGAUGUUGGAACUCUGAUCAAAUGAAAUUUAGUAUAUUUUCUUUCUUCUAAGACAAUUUGUUCUUUUUAACAUUUGCUAUUUUAGUGUGUUUAAUCAUUUGAUAUAUCGAAAAUAUAACAAAAACCAUGGGAUGGGCCCAGCACAAUGGCCCCAAACGCAGGAAGCCAUCGAGGCAUCCCCACCCCAAUCAAUUAGAACAAGCUUGGGAAUUGCAAAGAAAAGGUCAGUAUGCAUAUUUCUAUAUUUUUUAUUUUGUUUUUAGAAAAAAAAAAGUCAUUUUUUUUUUCAUCUUGCACUAUAACAAAGUAAACUAGAUUACCUGCUGCUGUCUUACAAGAUAGCCCUCCAUCAGAAGCCCUCUUGAUUUCAUCAAUAUUAUAUUGAUCAAUCAGGGCAAUCAAAGAGUAGGAAAAGAUGAUGAAUUCUUGGGUCAUUGUAACUACAAUUUGCAAUUAUUAUACAAGCUAGAGUGACUUCACAUAUGACUGUAAAAGAAUUUGGCCUGUUUGUUUUAGGAAGAAUAAUUGGAUUCUUCAACAUUAAGCCAUAUUUUUACGAAAAACGAAUCCCCCGAUGAUCCUCUUUUUAUUCUUAACCCUUGUAAUUCAAGUUAAAAGAUUAGAAAGUCUACGGGAAUGUCUCUCAAAACUUUUUGACUUCGUGCAAAGAUAAAUAUCAAAGAUAAAUAGAUAAGAAGCUUGUCCAUCAACCUUGGUUUAUCUUCUUCAUUUCGCAUGAUAAAUGCUGAAAAUUUAGUUUCAACUAUUUCAUCCAAUUAAAUACCAACCAUCCUCCGACUACUGCCUUUUUGAUGCUUCCUUGAUUCAGCAACAUGGAUGACAAAAUUCGCAAGUCGGUGCGUGAUGAAAAGUAUAACUCCAAGCUUUCCAUCUACUGAUGGAAAAUUAUUUGUUCAUGAAUUGCUCCUUUCUUCUCGAGUCAAUUUUGUCGGCACUUAUUCUAAAAUCUACUUCAGAAUUAGUUGAUGUCAAACCAGUAAAGAUCCUGUGGCAAAAGAGGAGAAAAUUUUUCCUUCUUCCUUUGGGUGCAAGGAAACUUUUUGAGUCCAAAGUGCAGGGUGUAGGCUAAUUAAUUGCCUCUUACCUUAUGUGGGUGCAAGUGCCCACCUCCAUGCAAGCAUUGUUGGUUGAGGAGCACACAUCAUGCACCAAACGAUAGCAUUUUUGGUUAAAGGGAAGCAGAUGGGCCAAUCCUUCCAUUCGUCUCCAACAACCAACUCAAAAUCAGAACAGGUAAGGAGAUCCGGAAGGAGGAGAGUAGGCCAAGUAUGCAACCAACAACAUGCCAAUAUCCACACAGGACCACCAAGCGCACAACCUCU